ensembl:lncRNA
AGACAAUUGAGACAAACUCUCGCUGCUAUAACAUCCUGAAACAUCCCCAGAGGUUUGGAUUUCUGAGAGAUACACCUGCACUCGGCAACUAUGAGAAUCUUGAGAAUACUCUGCAGUGUCUCAGAGCUGAUAUCAGUAUAUGGAAUACCUGUUGAAGAAGGCACAGGUACAGCGGUAUUCCUGACGUUUCAUCAAUUACAGGAUCUCGUGGACAGGAUUUUAAUAUUGUAUCAAGGGUGUUUUGAUUUGAGAGACCAGGAAGAGUUUGAGCUGCUGCCUGUAUCAUUCAUUAACAUGAUGACUGAAAGCUGUGUACGUACUGAAGUCUCACUGAACUGCUGUGAUCUUGAACAUGAUGUGCAACCAUCCAUCUCGUUUGAGAAAAAAUAUCUGUCAAACAAUGAACAAUGCACAUCUGCUGAUGCCCCACAACAAGACCUAGAUCCAGUUCAACAACUCUCUGAGACUGCUGUUAACAAAGCCACAUCAACUGAUGAACAAGCUCACUUGACUGAAGUCUCCCUGAACUGCUGUGAUCUUGAACAUGAUGUGCAACCAUCCCUCUCAUUUGAGAACAAAGAGAACAAAGCUCUGUCAAAUGAUGAACAAUGCUCAUCUGCUGAUGUCUCACAACAGUAUGUUCAAAUCCAAGAUUCAGUUCAACAAAUAUCUGAGACUGCUAUUAACAGAGCCACAUCAACUGAUGAACAAGUCCACUUGAUUUAUCAAGAUAAAAUGGAAGUUAAAAUUACUGUCACUCAGAAUCCAGAUAAAUCUAAAAAUUUACCAUUGAGUGAACCCUCUCAUAACCUACUGUCACAGGAUCAAUUGGCAUUGUCAGCUCCAAAUCACCAGAAUUCACAAUUCACAGUCAAGCAGAAAGAAAAACUGAACAAGACUCGAAAAAGAAAGUCAUACUAUAAAAAAUGGCAUAAAGAAAUGGUUCAGAGGCAAGGUGUUUAUGACAAAAAACAGGCUGUACGUGAAGUCUAUGAUUAUAAAACUAGUAGUGAAUACAGACAAAGACAUAACCAAGCCAUGAAGAACAACUAUUGGAAUAAUAUUACUUAUAGAGAAGAACGCAAACAAGCAAUGAAAAACAACUAUAAAAAUAAUGAAAAAUACAGACAAAAUAAAAAGUGUAAAAUAACCUUAAAUUACAAAAAUGAUGAACAAUACAGGGAGAGACAAAAGAAUUAUAUCAUUCAGAAUUACAGGAAUCGGGAACAAUUCAGGGAGAGACAAAGGAAUUAUAUCAUUCAGAAUUACAGGGACAAUGUUAAGUAUAAGGAACAGCUUAAGCAAAGUCUUGUUGACAGAUAUUUAAAAGAUCCAAUUUUUAGGCAAAAGCAAAAGGACCAUUACACAAACCGAUGCAAAAAUGAUCCUAACUUCUAUAAAAGAAGGAAAGACAUUUUUAAACGGUAUUAUCACUGUGAUGCUCAUUUUAGGGCUCGUCAGAAAGAAUAUUAUUUAUUCAAAUCUAAAUGCAAAACAUCUGCGCUUAAGGUACUUCACAAAGUACAUUGUGCACAAGAGAUACAGUACAAAUACAAAAAAAUGUAUUUGAUGCAGCGGCAGAGAGAAACAUUACAAGAUAGCCAGCAUGACAUAGUACAAGAUCCAGGCAUGUUAAGAGCCUUAAAUGUUUUCAGAGAUGUUAUAAAACAGGGGCCAACU